rnacentral:rRNA from 1 species
GUGUCAGCAGCCGCGGUAAUACGGAGGGUGCAAACGUUGCUCGGAAUCAUUGGGCGUAAAGCGCACGUAGGCGGUCCAGCAGGUCGGGUGUGAAAGCCCUCGGCUUAACCGGGGAAGUGCAUUCGAAACUACUGGGCUUGAGGUCGGAAGGGGAAAGUGGAAUUCCGGGUGUAGUGGUGGAAUACGUAGAUAUCCGGAGGAACACCGGUGGCGAAGGCGGCCCCCUGGACCGGAACUGACGCUGAGGCGCGAAAGCGUGGGUAGCAAACGGGAUUAGAUACCCCGGUAGUCC